CAAAACCUUUCAUGAGAGAAGAAUGAGCCACUUGUGUAGCGGAGCUGCAUCCAGACUUCACCUUUCUUCCUCCCUUCAUCUACUGAGCACUUCAAAAGCUUGCAGCCCUUUUCUGAACGUGCUCAACAGGUAACAUCUGCAAAUAAUGUGGGCAUUUUGGAAAAAAACAGCCAUGGUUCUUUGUUGAGUGCUAACUGCAAAGCAUUCCCAAUGAGGAUUAUGGCUCAUCAAGACAGUGCCAGCAGCUUUCUGGGUGGUUAAGCCUUCAAUUUUAAUUGAACUGCCUUUAGCUGCUGAUAAAAUCUGCCUUUUUAAAGAAGUAAACUGCAUGGUUUCUGUAGCAUGUUAAAUUCAAGUUGAGUUUCCACUCAGCAUAAUUACAUGGACUUAGCAUCUAAUUGAUUUAGUUGAAAUGUAUAUUUUAUUCAUCAAAGUGUAAGAAAACCUAAUUCCUUUAUGUGCAAUAUCCUUAUUUUUCUUUUUCCUUUUGCAGUAUUUAAUAUGUGAGGAAUAAGACAGGAGAAGAAUUCUCUUGAAACAGAAGUGAAGCUAGAUGUUAAUGAGGAAAAAAAGGCCCGCAUCUGUUAGACUAUGAAGAAAAGGUCAAUUACCUUCAAAUAGGAAAAGAAGACUUACCAAUCAAUUUUCAGCAGGAAAAAUAAGUUAAACCUGACGCCUGCAGCAUUCUGUGCCGUAGAUAGCAGCCAGUGGACAGUGAAAAAAGAAAAGAAACUCAAGCUGUUGGCUGGAGUCCUGGGUACCUACCAGAAGCUGGUAAACUGAACUGAUUCCUCGUGAUAUUCUGUCUGCUUCCUUUGGAAACUUGGGCAAUGCUGCCUAACUGGCAGAGAUGACUUCCUACCGCUCCCUUGGGUGCUCUGCCCCAUUUGCAGGAACACCAGCCAAGAUGACUGACUGUGGGCAAAUGACAGCACCAUUCCACGCAAAUCCUUUGUAAAUCAGGCUACCAGGGAGGAAGCCU